UCCGAUAUGGUGUAGUGGCUAACAUCGCUCGCUCUCAUUACGUGUACCGAGCAGCCCUGGGUUCGAUUCCCAGUAUCGGAG